rnacentral:rRNA from 1 species
CCUACGGGUGGCAGCAGUGAGGAAUAUUGGUCAAUGGACGCAAGUCUGAACCAGCCAUGCCGCGUGCAGGAAGAAGGCUCUAUGAGUUGUAAACUGCUUUUGUAGGGGGGUAAACGCAGAUACGAGUAUCUGUCUGCAUGUACCGUACGAAUAAGGAUCGGCUAACUCCGUGCCAGCAGCCGCGGUAAUACGGAGGAUUCAAGCGUUAUCCGGAUUGAUUGGGUUUAAAGGGUGCGUAGGCGGUCUGUUAAGUCAGAGGUGAAAUCCCGAGGCUCAACCUCGGAAUUGCCUUUGAAACUGGUAGGCUAGAGAGUAGUUGCGGUAGGCAGAAUGUGUGGUGUAGCGGUGAAAUGCUUAGAGAUCA